GUAGUCCACGCCGUAAACUAUGGAUACUAGGUGUCGGGAGAUCUUACCCUCUCGGUGCCGUCGCUAACGCAUUGAGUAUCCCGCCUGGGGAGUACGGUCGCAAGAUUAAAACUCAAAGAAAUUGACGGGGGCCCGCACAAGCGGUGGAGUAUGUGGUUCAAUUCGAUGCAACGCGAAAAACCUUACCUGGGCUUGACAUCCGGUGACAGUCUGAGAAAUCAGAGGUUUCCUUCGGGAACACCGAGACAGGUGCUGCAUGGCUGUCGUCAGCUCGUGUCGUGAGAUGUUGGGUUAAGUCCCGCAACGAGCGCAACCCUCGCUGUUAGUUGCCAUCAUUAAGUUGGGCACUCUAAUAGGACCGCUUGCCGAUAAGGCAGA
rnacentral:rRNA from 1 species